rnacentral:rRNA from 1 species
UACGGAGGGUGCAAACGUUGCUCGGAAUCAUUGGGCGUAAAGCGCACGUAGGCGGUCCGCUAAGUCGGGUGUGAAAUCCCUCGGCUCAACCGAGGAAGGGCAUCCGAAACUGACGGGCUUGAGUACGGAAGAGGGUCUCGGAAUUCCCGGUGUAGAGGUGAAAUUCGUAGAUAUCGAGAGGAACACCUGCGGCGAAGGCGGGUUGCUGGGCCGACACUGACGCUGAUGCGCGAAAGCCAGGGGAGCGAACGGG